GCGCGCCCAGGUCGUCGGGGAGCGGCUCGGCGCUGCGGGUGCCGCGCCCCGGGAGCUCGACCGGCGCCAGUUCCAGGCCCGUGGGCAGGUGC
rnacentral:tRNA from 1 species